GGUGCUGUAGCUCAGUGGUAGAGUGCUUGCCUAGCAUGCAUGAGGCACUGGAUUCGAUCCUCAGCACCA
rnacentral:tRNA from 1 species